rnacentral:rRNA from 1 species
CACGUAGGGCGCAAGCGUUGUCCGGAAUUAUUGGGCGUAAAGGAGCUCGUAGGCGGGUCUGUUGCGUCCGCUGUGAAAACUCGGGGCUUAACCCCGAGCCUGCAGUGGAUACGGGCAGACUAGAGGCAGGUAGGGAGAAUGGAAUUCCCGGUGUAGCGGUGAAAUGCGCAGAUAUCGGGAGGAACACCGGUGGCGAAAGCAACCGCCUGGCCUGAACUGACGCUGAGGAGCGAAAGCGUGGGAGCGAACGAGG